GAUGAACGCUGGCGGCGUGCCUAAUACAUGCAAGUCGAGCGAACAGACGAGGAGCUUGCUCCUCUGACGUUAGCGGCGGACGGGUGAGUAACACGUGGAUAACCUACCUAUAAGACUGGGAUAACUUCGGGAAACCGGAGCUAAUACCGUAUAAUAUAUUGAACCGCAUGGUUCAAUAGUGAAAGACGGUUUUGCUGUCACUUAUAGAUGGAUCCGCGCCGCAUUAGCUAGUUGGUAAGGUAACGGCUUACCAAGGCAACGAUGCGUAGCCGACCUGAGAGGGUGAUCGGCCACACUGGAACUGAGACACGGUCCAGACUCCUACGGGAGGCAGCAGUAGGGAAUCUUCCGCAAUGGGCGAAAGCUUGACGGAGCAACGCCGCGUGAGUGAUGAAGGUCUUCGGAUCGUAAAACCCUGUUAUUAGGGAAGAACAAAUGUGUAAGUAACUAUGCACGUCUUGACGGUACCUAAUCAGAAAGCCACGGCUAACUACGUG
rnacentral:rRNA from 1 species